AAUGGUAAGUCUCCUGAAGCAAUACAAUACUGAUUAUUAGACUGAAAUUUUAAUCUGGACCUUGAUCAAAUUAUUCAUAAACUGCCCAGAUAAAAAAAAAAAUUUUUUUUAAUUACCCUAACUUUUUGUUUUUUCUUUAAGGGCAAUAAUGGCAUUGAUACUUCACACUAUGACCCUGGCAGAUCUAUAACUAUCUGAAAAGAAGAGACAGCAGAUGUUUUCAAGACACACAGGUUAUAUGGAUAGGACAAUAUUAUAUUAACUUAGCAACAUUUUAAUCUUUUAGCUGACAUCAGCAUGAUUCAUUUUGUCAUACAAUUGUAACAGAAAAAAGUAUAAAUAUUCUUUCAUUGUUUUUGUCAAACCGUUGAAAGUCUAGACAAUCUUUAUUUUCAAGCUUUAAAAGAACUUUAAUUUAGGCUUUCAUUCACAUUUAAACAUUGAACAAUUCCUCUUUGUAGAUCCCAGGAAACACUUUAAAUGGAAGCUCAAAUGUUAAGAAAAAGGAGCUUGAUCAGGUGCAGAAGGCAGCAAUCACCAUCAGAGUGAACAUUGUCUUUAACACCAGUGGAUGUUUUGAUUGCAUUUGAAGAUAAGAUGAUGUCUGCCAAGUCUUGGGUCAGUGCACUGGUGCUGUGUUUUUGCACUCAUUUAGAAAAAUUUUCAUUGUUUGCACAGUCUUGACUUAUUUUAUGAAACGUCUGAUACGAUUGUUUAAAGGUUAUAUUUUGACUAUAAAGUCCACUGAUUUUGUUUGAUGUUUGAAAACCUCUUGACGUAAAUGUUUCAUAAAAUUUCAAUAAACACUUAAGAAUAC